rnacentral:rRNA from 1 species
AUGGCGGACUUCGCGCUUGGGUUGACCAAGACGGCGGUGGAGGGGACGCUGAGCAGAGUCCAAUUGGCGAUCGAUGAAGAGAACAAGCUGAGGGUGACGGCGAAGCAAGACCUGCGGUACAUCACAGGCGAGUUCCAGAUGAUGCAGUCCUUUCUCAAGGUUGCCAACAAGGAGCGCGCCAAUAAUGAAGUGGUGAAGACCUGGGUGAGGCAGCUCCGAGACCUUGCCUUCGAUGUCGAAGACUGUGUUGAGUUUGUUGUCCACCUGGACAACAACUCGGCCUUGAUCUGGUUGUGGCGCCUGGUACCAUCCUGCAUGGCACCACCUCGGACUCGGGAGCUGGACAGGGCAGUCGCUGAGUUAAAGCAGCUGAAGGCAAGGGUUGAGGAGGUAAGCCAGAGGAACACACGCUACAACCUCAUUAGUGACUCCGGCUCCCAUGCCAAGACCGCCACACCGACCGAGCAGCUGGCUGCCCUGGCCACCACCAACCCAUCAGCAUUCCACAUGCUAACUGAGGUCUGGGAGGCUGCUGGGAGGCGACGCGGCAUGAGCGACCUACAGAAGUUGAUCCUAGGUGAAGGCAGUGACCUUCAAAUGAUCUCCGUAUGGGGAAGUACGGCAGCUGAUCUUGGGACAACGUCCAUUUUCAGCAUGCUGUAUAGUGACCCAGAUAUUUGCCGAGCAUUCAGAAGACGUGCAUGGGUGAAGUUGAUGCAUCCUUUUAAACCUGACGAGUUCCUCAAGAGUUUGCUGACUCAGUUCUACGUGAGAUCUCACCAAGAAAACAUAGAUGUAGAUCAUCUCACGAAGGCUGAGCUCAUGCAACAAGUGAAGGUGCACAAGUAUCUCAUCAUUCUAGAAGAAGUAUCUGGUGUGGCGGACUGGGAUGCCAUCCGAGAGUACCUGCCGGACAAUGAGAAUGGCAGCCGAAUCAUCGUGUCCACAAAGCAAUUAAGGAAUGCACUCUUGUGCACAGGGGGUGGGGAGUACCAAGUUUCAGAGCUCAGGAGAUUCUCUGACGAUCGAUCUCUUUGUGCCUUCUCCAAGAAGGCAGGGCGUCACAGUGGUAUGCACGAUCUUAUUUGGCAAAUAAGGUGUCGUGGUGUGAUUUCACUAUGGGGGAUUAGCGAUGCCAAAUCAUCACUCAUCAAUAAAGUGUACACCAGCAUAGUGUAUAAGAGUAAACAAUUCGAUGGAGUUGAAUUUCAACGACACAGCUGGGUCGACGUGCCCGCUCCUUUCAAUUUGGAGGUCUUCUCUCGGCGCUUACUUGUAAGUUUCCGCUCAGAAGAUCUUCAAACCGAAGAAAUUGCAAUGGUUGGUAUGAUGGAAGAGCCAGGCCUAACUCAAGAGUGUUGCAAGUUUCUGCAUGAAGACGAUUGCCUCGUUGUUAUUAAUGAUCUGCAGUCCACACAUGACUGGGACUUGAUAAAAACUGCUUUCUUGUCCGAGCCUAUUAAAGGAUGUAUUCUUAUCAUUACAAAUGAAUCAAGCGUUGCCAGACAUUGCGUAGAGGAGGAAGAUGGGGUUCUCAACAUCGAAGAUUUGAAAGCCCAUACUAUGCUUCGCCCCUUGAUAAAGGAUUGCCAAAACUAUGGAAUUAGAUGGAAGGAGGCUACUCACAGGGGUCGCCUUUUCUCCAUCAGAUUGGGGGAGACACGUGAAUGGUUCACAAAAUUUGGACACAUGUAUUGGGAAGAAGCGAGGGACCUUCGGUUUCUUUUACACAAUCCUGGUGUGAUCUCGUUGUGGGGACCUGCUGGUGCUGGGUUAUCAACUCUUGUUAGAAUCUUGUACUAUAAGGUAAUGCUUAGGUCUGAUGCUUCUUGGGAGUGGGAAUAUCAUCAAGAGAGGCCAGUUAGCUGGGAAGAGAAAAUUACAAUGUUUAGCUGGGUUGAUGUGCCCCAUCCUUUCAAUUUAAAAGACUUCUGUUGGCGCUUGUUACUGGAUUUUCGUUCAGAUGAUCUUCGAGCCAAGAAAAUUGCUGCAGUUGGUAUAAUGGAAGGCGAAGACCCAAUUCAACAGUGUUCUAAGAUUCUGCGUGAAGACGAAUGUGUCGUCGUUAUUGAUGGUCUACGGUCCACCGAUGAUUGGGAUUUGAUAAAAGCUGCCGUAUUACCUGACCCAAUUACCAGCCAUAUUAUUGUCAUUGCAAAUGCUGCAAGUGUUGCCACACAUUGCGUAGAUAAGGAAGAUCGAGUGAUCAAGAUAAAUUGUCUAGAAGCUGGUAUGGCCAUUGGUCCCCCGAUAAAGGGUUGUAUAUUCUCCAACAGGAGAGCAGAGGCACGUGCCUUGGUCAACACAUUUGCACUUCUUGGGCAUCAGAAUCUAUCAGCUGAUCUGCUUCGCAGCAGUUUAGAUUCCUCAGGUCCUAGUGUGUCCUCAUUGUGGGGAAUUUCUGGUGUGGGGAAAUCAGCCGUGGUCAGAAGUCUGUACUGCCACCUGUUGCUUGGACUGGAUCAAUAUUUCAAGUUUGGCAGCGGACACAACCUCACUAGUCCCCAAACGGAAUUUACCAUGUGCAGCUGGGUAGACGUGCGUCAUCCAUUUAAUUUGAUAGAUUUCUCUUGCCAUUUGCUCCUGGAUUUUCACUCAGAUAAUCUUCAAGCUAAGGAAAAGGCAGCAAUUGGUAUCAUGGAAGGGCAAGAUCCAGUUCAAGAGUGUUGUAGAAUUCUGUGUGAGUACAGAAGUCUCAUUGUUAUCGAUGGAUUACGGUCCACGGAGGAUUGGGACUUGAUAAAAGCCUCCUUCUUACCCAAUCCUACGAAUGCAUGUAUCAUUGUAAUUACAAAUGAAGCAAGCGUCGCUACACAUUGUGUAGAUAAGGAAGAUCGUCGAGUGGUCAAUGUAAGUCUUGAAGCUGACAUGGCGCUCAUUCUCUUCAAAAAGAUCACAAAGGAUGGGAUAGAAUUGACUCCUGACGAGAUGGAGCUCUCCAAAGUUACCGUAGGCAGAUGUGGUGGGAUUCCUAAAGUUAUUGCUACUAUAGGCCACCUCUUCACCAAAGAGAAUGCCGCUGGAAGGCGCUGGUCUGUAUCGGCCACAGAUUUGUUGAAGGAGAUAAAUGAUGACUUUAUGCACAAGUUGGAGACCGAUCAAGAAUUUCACAGUUUAAGGGAUCUAUUCUCUUGGAUGCAGUCCUACUUUGAUGGUUGCUCAGAUUCCCUCAAGCCAUGUAUUUUCUAUCUCUCAAUCUUCCCUCCAGAGCAGAAGCUAAGGCAGAGGCAUUUGUUGAGGCGGUGGAUUGCUGAGGGUUAUUGCAGGGACACGUAUAAUGCUACUGCAGAGGAGAAUGGGGAGAGAUUGUUCAUGGAACUCGUUAGUUUGAGCAUAAUCCAACGAUGUCAGAAGACAAUGAAGUGCCUAUACCAAGUCAAUGGUUUCUUUCAUGAAUACAUCAUUUCACGGCGAAUGGAAGACAACCUCGUCUUUGCACUAGAGGGGAAUUGCAGCCCGAACUCGCAACAUGCAGGUCAACACCUCACCAUAAGGGAGGACUGGGACAGGGACAUCACAGUGUUUAAGACCAUGGACUUCUCACGUCUACGGUCCUUGACUGUGUUUGGAAAGUGGAUGUCAUUCUUCCUCUCCUCUGACAUGAGUCUACUUCGGGUGUUAGAUAUGGCGGAUACAUCAGGUAUACUAGAUGCCGACCUUGAGCAGAUCGUGAAGGUGCUACCUCGUCUUAAGUUUCUCUCUCUGCGAGGAUGCAAAGGGAUAAGCCAUCUACCAGAAUCAUUCGGUGGCCUGAGGCAGCUGCAAACGUUGGAUGUCAGAGACACCUCAAUUGCCAUGCUACCGUUGUGUGUCAUCAAGCUACAGAAGUUGCAAUACAUUCGUGCUGGCACCAUCAUAUCAUCUGAUGAAGGCGAUGACGCUCUUGCAAGUAUACCAACAACAACAGUAGACCAGACAUCAAGACCAUUGGAGAGCAGUGAUGACAUGGUCACAACACUACCGGAAACAACAGAGGAGGUUCAGACAUCAACACCACCAGAGGCCAGUGAUGACGUGGUCACAACUCUACCGAAAACUACGGAGGAGAUUCAGACAUCAACACUACCAGAAACGAGAACAGAGGUUCAGACAUCAAUAUCACCUGAGGGCAGUGAUGACAUGGUCACAGCACUACCGGAAACAACAGAUGUUCAGACAUCAACACGGUUGUCAUGGAGCUGCCGGCCAUGUAGUUUGGUGUCUAGCUGGUUAUCCAAGUUGCGCAGACGCCGACUUGAUAAUGAUGGUGUUGAGUUUCCUGUAGGGAUUGGGAGCAUGACGGCCUUGCAUACUAUUGGUGUUGUCAAUGUCAAUAUUCCAAAUGGAAAGGCAAUCCUAAAGGAGCUUAAGAACCUUACACAACUACGCAAGCUCAGCGUGUCUGGCAUAAACAGGCAAAACAUACAAGAAUUGUGUAAUUUCAUCUCCGGCCACAAGCAUCUGGAGUCCUUGUCAUUGCGACUCGAUAAGGAUAAGGAUAAGGAUGAGGGGUUACUUGCUUGUUUCGGUGACAUGAUUUCCCAGCCACCCAAGACCCUAAAGAGCCUCAAGCUGUACGGGCAUGUAAACAAACUGCCAAUUUGGAUCAAACAGCUUAAUAAUCUCGAGAAGUUACAUCUUGAGUUGACCAUACUAGUGCCAGAGGACAUGCACUUCCUUGGUGGAUUACCAGAUAGAUAUUGCUUACGUGGCCUUUGUGUCAAGCCAAUUCAAGAUGGCGAACUCAAUUUUGGCACCCUGGGUAAUGUUAUCUUUUCGAGAUUACGGGUCCUAGAGAUCGAUUGCACCUCCAAGUUACACGUAACUUUUGUAGAGAGGGUGUUUCGGGAAGCUGAGGUGCUAAAGAUUCACUGCUCUGAUGGGGCGUCUUUGCGGAUUUCUGGGCUAGAGCAUAUGAGUGAUCUCAAAGAAGUGUGGCUGAAGGGUUCGUAUGGUGACGAACUCAAGCAAGAGUUGCAACAGCAACUUUCCGUGCAUAAAAGAAAACCCGUCCUGAAGCUAGUGCAGCGACGCUCGUCCUGA